rnacentral:rRNA from 1 species
UACGGAGGAUCCAAGCGUUAUCCGGAAUCAUUGGGUUUAAAGGGUCCGUAGGCGGCCUUAUAAGUCAGUGGUGAAAUCUCCUAGCUCAACUAGGAAACUGCCAUUGAUACUGUAAGGCUUGAAUUUUUGUGAAGUAACUAGAAUAUGUAGUGUAGCGGUGAAAUGCUUAGAUAUUACAUGGAAUACCAAUUGCGAAGGCAGGUUACUAACAAACGAUUGACGCUGAUGGACGAAAGCGUGGGGAGCGAACAGG